GCCUUGGCAGUAAGAGGCGAUGAAGGACGUGAUACCCUGCGAUAAGCCAUGGGGAGCCGGGAAUAGGCUUUGAUCCAUGGAUCUCCGAAUGGGGCAACCCACCUGACAGUUUGUUAUUGUUGGCUUCGGCCAUUCAAUAGCGGGCUGAAACAGGUACUUAUUACCUGAAUACAUAGGGUUUUAAGAGCGAACCCGGGGAACUGAAACAUCUAAGUACCCGGAGGAAAGGAAAUCAAUUGAUACUCCCCUAGUAGCGGCGAGCGAACGGGGACCAGCCGAGCCUUGAGAGUGACCAGAACUACCUGGAAAGGUAGGCCAUAGUGGGUGACAGCCCCGUAUGGGAAGCUCAAUGGGACGUAUUAAGUAGGGCGGAACACGUGAAAUUCUGUCUGAAGAUCGGAGGACCACCUUCGAAGGCUAAGUACUCCUUACUGACCGAUAGUGAACCAGUACCGUGAGGGAAAGGUGAAAAGCACCCCGAUUAGGGGAGUGAAACAGUACCUGAAACCGAAUGCUUACAAGCAGUUGGAGCUCCAUAGGGAGUGACAGCGUACCUCUUGCAUAAUGGGUCAGUGACUUAAUCUACCAUGCAAGCUUAAGCCGUUAGGUGUAGGCGCAGCGAAAG
rnacentral:rRNA from 1 species